UGUGUGUGUGUGGAGUGUGUGUGUGUGUGUUGAUGCCCAUCCCUUUCUUCCUUUACCACCUUUUCUCUCUCUCUCUCUCUCUCCUGACGAUGAUUUCAAAUACCUUAGGGCUUUUUCUUUCUCUCUGUGUUAAUUUUUGUUUUGUUUUUAAUAUGACCGUCGAUUAAAGUUGGUGUUGUUGGGUGUCAUCGUGAUGGAUUGUUCCAUUGAUGCUUGUUACUUGUAUACUGUCUGUUAUUCUGCUGCUGGGAGAAAUCGUCGGCUUGCACACGAUGCCAACCAAAGAUACCGAUUGAGUUCAAGGACGUCGCUAAAAAAAAGUCUGUGGGCUUCUUCUAUGUAGGAGGAGGAUUAUAUGGAGGGUAGUAGAAGAGUAUCGAUUGACCCACACCCUCCCCCGGCUGGAUGUUUGGAGUCACUUCCUUCAAUCGAGCGCCGGUUUUCGAUUUCCUCCGUGGCGAGAAUAUUCGUCGUCAGCCCUUUUGUUUAUUUUCCCUCCACACGACGCCCACGCCUACACACACUAGACGAGCGACGCUAUUUCGAUCGAUAUAAUUUUUUUUUGGCUCAAUGCUGCCCACUCCCACCCCUACUACUGCGAUGAUUGGCCUCAGCCACGCGAUACACCUGUAAAUCGGGUAGUGGCCUGGUAUUUGUUUUCAUUAUGUCGCGACAGUCUUUUGUUUUCUAGAAUCUCGACGAAGCAAUUUCACCAAAGUAUAAUGAGGUGACAGGUUUUUUUCGAUUUCACUUUCAUAAUGCAUCACGAUGUUUCUUUUCGAAACGGCAAUUAGAAAAUAUAUCGAUUUUUCUUUUUUUCGGGGCGAGGUGAGCUGUCGCAGUUUCUUUUGCAUCAGAUUGUUUUGAAAUACACCUAUCACGAAAGAGACAAUUAUCAUGUGCGUGACACAACUGAUCCGAGAAAACGACACGAAACUUCCGUUUUUUUUCCAUGGAUGUGUAAUUGUGUAUAUGUGUGUAUGCGUAUAAAAAAUGAUUCACGGCUCAAAACCGCGAAACGCUCACUGUACAAACAACAAGAAUAUAGCAUUAUAUAUAUUGAGUUUUUCUUUUUUGGCUUGAAAAUAAUAAGAAUUAAUUAUGUUUGACAUUAACAAAAUAAACCACGUAAUAACUUUUCGGUUUGGUGUGUUUCUUUCACGUGAAUGUUGUUUGGCGUUUCUUGUCCGAGGCCAAACAGCCAAGAGGCGAAUUUUCUGUCUGCAACUGGUGUGUGUGUGUGUGUGUGUUUAGUUCUACUACUUUAUCUCUACUUCCAACAUAAAAGAACACAAAAAAAAGAAGAAAAAAACUGAUACCAAAAACAUGGCAACAUUACAGCAGUUGGCCACUAGAUGGCGAUAGAUGCAGUACAAAAAUAACAUAUACAGAAAACAGGGCCCAAAAAGCUCUCGACACCAUAGACAGAAGUUAGACAUCCACACACGCACACACCCACAUAAUCAUAACAAUACGAAGACUGAGAAAAAUGACAAACUUUUUUUUUUCUCCUUCUCCCUGGCGGCCCGAAUUUGUUUUUAGGUAGUAGCGCAUGAUAUAUCGAAUGAGACGCAGGGGCCAAAGAGAAAGUGAUCACAAGCAUGCACAUACAUAUAGAAGAGCUGAGCAAUUCGUAUACACACUGACUCAUUGUAACUAUCAAGACUUUAGGGGAGAGCCUUUUUGACGCGCUGAAAAUGAAUGGGUCAUCCACCGUUUUUUUUUUCUUCUUUCUUUUCUUAGUAGAGAGAAAGUUUUUGACGGUCGUCUAUUUCGUGGCCCAGACAUGGGAUAAAAACACAAGACAGAAACAAGACACGUCACGACCUUCUAUCUUUUAAAAUAAAAGACAAAACUUAAAAAGGAAGUGACAAGUCGGUAAUCAGGGACCCAAUCGGAGAGAGACCGUCCGUCACCGGAUAAGACAAUGGACUAGAAAGAGAAGAAAAAAACAAAAUAAAAUUUUUUUUUUGAACCGGACAAUGCCGACCGUAUU